UACAGAGGUCUCAAGCGUUGUUCGGAUUCAUUGGGCGUAAAGGGUGCGUAGGCGGCGCGGUAAGCCGGGUGUGAAAUUUCGAGGCUUAACUUCGAAACUGCAUUCGAUACUGCCGUGCUAGAGGACUGGAGAGGAGACUGGAAUUUACGGUGUAGCGGUGAAAUGCGUAGAUAUCGUAAGGAAGACCAGUGGCGAAGGCGGGUCUCUGGACAGUUCCUGACGCUGAGGCACGAAGGCCAGGGGAGCAAACGGG
rnacentral:rRNA from 1 species